GCCGACAUAGCUCAACUGGCAGAGCAACUGAUUUGUAAUCAGUAGGUUGGCGGUUCGAUUCCGUUUGUCGGCACCA
rnacentral:tRNA from 1 species